rnacentral:rRNA from 1 species
AACGAACGCUGGCGGCAUGCCUAACACAUGCAAGUCGAACGAGACCUUCGGGUCUAGUGGCGCACGGGUGCGUAACGCGUGGGAAUCUGCCCUCUGGUACGGAAUAACUCAGGGAAACUUGAGCUAAUACCGUAUAAUGACUUCGGUCCAAAGAUUUAUCGCCUGAGGAUGAGCCCGCGUCGGAUUAGCUAGUUGGUGAGGUAAAAGCUCACCAAGGCGACGAUCCGCAGCUGGUCUGAGAGGAUGAUCAGCCACACUGGGACUGAGACACGGCCCAGACCCCUGCGGGAGGCAGCAGUGGGGAAUAUUGGACAAUGGGCGAAAGCCUGAUCCAGCAAUGCCGCGUGAGUGAUGAAGGCCUUAGGGUUGUAAAGCUCUUUUACCCGGGAUGAUAAUGACAGUACCGGGAGAAUAAGCCCCGGCUAACUCCGUGCCAGCAGCCGCGGUAACAC